rnacentral:tRNA from 1 species
GCGGGAGUGGCGGAAUUGGCAGACGCACUAGACUUAGGAUCUAGCGCCUUCGGGUGUAGGGGUUCGACUCCCCUCUCCCGCACCA